rnacentral:lncRNA from 1 species
CUUUCCUUCUUUCUUUCUUUCUUUCUUUCUUUCUUUCUUUCUUUCUUUCUUUCUGUGCCCGUCGCAUGCAAAAGAUCCCAGGUCAGGGAUCAGACCUGCACUGCAGCAGUGACAACACCGGAUCCUUAGCUAUUAGGCCAGCAGGGAAUUCCUCAGAGGUGUGUCUUGAAUCCUGUAUCUUAUAAACCUUCUUGUCACCUUACCCUGACAGCAACAGUUCACCUCCCAAAAAAGGAAAUGCUUGAGAAACUCACUUACUAAAGGUCCAUCGAGCAACUUUUCUUACUAGGUGAUUGGAUAGUUUGAGCUCAGUGUUGAAAACACAAAUGGCUUAAUUAAUUUUUUUUUUUAGCUCCUGUUAUUCCACCGUGCUCUGUCAAAUCCUUCUGCUUGCCUCUUAAUGACAAUUCUGCUAGAUCCUAGAGACAGCUGGUCACUUUCCAUUAUAAAAAGUCCAGGCCAGCUUAAAACUCCAAUCUCAUAUCCAAUUAAAAUCUCAUCUCCUUCUGUCCUCCUUUCACAGGCUGGGCUGGGGCUCUAGGAUGCUCCAUGGGGACAGGACAUGAUCUGCCUCAGGGCUCUUCUACCCCCUCUCAGCUCUGAAAUCUGACUCUUCAGACAGAGGAGUGGGGACAGCGCGGAGGGAUCAGAUGAAAUAUCUGGGUGGUUUUUGCUUCUCAGAUGAACUCAGACAAGCUCCUUGCAUCCACUGUGGACAGUGGUCCACAAAUGGAUCAAACAAAUCCAUGGCCAUUCAAGGUGUCCACUCCCACUCGUUAGGGAUUAUCUUUGGUGCGGGGGACUCUUGGAACCUCGGCGUUCUCAGAUUCAGUGCCUCAUGACAGAUUACAAGGGAGAAGGAAAAAGGCCCGGUUCAUCUUCUCACUGUGGACAGAAUCCAAAUGUGGCUCUGGAGGCCUGACCGACUUUCCUGGCUGAUUUGCAAGGUCUACACAGUUCCUAGAGAUGGGAGAUCAGCCCCUUGUCCUGCUCCUACCUACCUCCCACUACCAGCAGCACCCUCUUCGGCCCCCACCCCAGCCCCAGUCCCAUACAUGCAUCCUCUUGAGAGCCCUGUCUUCUAGUGGAGAACUUUCAAGACGGCACCAGCCUACCCAUGGUCCACGCAGGAAUCUCAUCCAUCCUUGCCAUCCCCACGCUCUAAGGACCCUUGGCUUUGUGACCAGUUCUUUUCUCUGCUUUGCUCCACCAUCUUUCUCCUAUUCCCUUUCCCAGGUCAACCAGGCAGAGGAGGUGGCUGGCUGGCCUGACACCUAAGCAGAUGUCCAGCCAACGAGAGAGGUGUGAGUCUUCCUCUCUUGCUAGCACCCUUCUCUUCAAAGUCGAUCUUCCCUUGGUUUUAAGAAGAGAAGAGCACCCCUCCUGUCUCCAGGGGAGAAGCACCCCCAUCACAAUGCAUUCAUGGAGUGGCCCCGGUCACUCCAGGAAACCUGUCUGUCUUCUUCUCCUCUUCCUGGGACACAGCUGUUGGCUCUGGUACCAAGGCCAUUCAAGGUGUCCACUCCCACUUGUUGGAGGUCAUCUUUGGUGUGGGGGACUCUUGAAAGCUCGGCGUUCUCAGAUUCAGUGCCUCAUGACAGAAUACAAGGGAGAAGGAAAAAGGCCCGGUUCAUCUUCUCUCAUACCGCUACCCAAACAUCUCCUGAAACUCACCUCUUCCAAACCGCACGCCCCUCCAGACUAAUCAUCUCAUCCAACCAUUUAACAAGUAUUUCUUGAGUCCUUAUUCUGCCCUUGGAACUGUUGGAGACAUGAGGGAUGUGGCAGCAAACGGAAAGAUGGGGUUACCUCUCUCACUUUACGUUCUGUUGGAGGUGACAUCAUCUUAAACAGGUGUGUCAGCGAGAUGCUGUUAGAUGGUGCUAAGUGCUCUGAGAGAGUAACACGCAGGCAGAAUGAUUGCAAGAAAAGGGUGCCACUUAAGAUUGGUGGCCGGAGGUUUAUCUGAUAGGGGGAUCAUUGAAUGGGACCUAAAUAAUUCCCAAACAGAGCAAAUGCUAAGGCCCUGAAAUGAGCAUUUGUUUGCCAUGCUGAGGGAAUUUAAGAUAAACAAGUGGUGGUUUUCUCAGUCUCAUUUUAGAGUUAAACCUUCCAAGAUGCUUUUUGAUCUCUGCUUGCUCCAGGCUAGUACAUGAGAUAAAGAACUCCACCGUUUCUCCAACACCCUGUGUAUGGGAGGCCAUUACAGCUGUGUCUCACUCUUCUUCUUCUUCUUUUUUUUUUUACAGCUGCACCUGGGACAUAUGAAAGUUCCCAGGCUAGGGGUCAAAUGGAGCUGCAGCUGCAGGCCUACACCACAGUUGUGGCAACAGCAGAUCCUUAACCCACUGAGUGAGACCAGGGAUUGAACAUGCAUCCUCACUGACACUGUGUUGGGUUCUUAACCUGCUAAGCCACAAAAUGGGAACUCCCUAGACUUAGAGAUUUCAGACAUAAAUGAGCAUUUCCAUCUGUUUAUUUGGGUCAUGUGCCAGGGAGUAUCCUUAUUGUACCUCUGGCCCGACUGUCAUUCGUGAACAUCAGCUACCCGGAAAUGGAAAAAUAGAGCUACAAAUUUUCCUAUGCCCAAUACCUUUCUAUGCCUAACGGGGUUUAUGGAUGAAUUCACUUGCAUAUUAAAAUUUGUAUGUUAUAUCUUAAAGCAUUAUACAAAUAAAAAUAUGUUAUUGUGAGACUUACCUACUAGAACAAAAUAUGGAUAAUGAAUGAAAAAGAAAUAAGAGCCAAUAAAGCUCUAAGGUACCAUUUCUAUAGUUGGUUUAUUACUUUGAAAUAAAAGAAAUCUCAUUGGAAUUGCCCAUUUUAUUAAAAUCACCUUCAUAACAUUCAUGCCCCAAAUGGAAUAUUUCUUUUCAGCAUGGAAUUUCAGAGGUGAAAGAUACCUUUGUGAUUUUUAUUUGUUUGUGUAUUUGUUUUUGUUUUUUUUGGCUGCACUCAUGGCAUGUGGAAGUUCCUCGGCCAGGGAUCAAGCCUGUACCACAGCAGCAACCAGAGUCACUUCAGUUGCAAUGCUAGACCCUUAACCUGCUGUGCCGCAGGAGAACUCCAAUAUCUUUGUGAUUAUUGAUGAAAAUUCUCAGAUAUAAGAUAACAGAUAUUCAAAAAUGUUAAGCAGCAUUCCAAAUUCACAUAGCGAUUAUAAUUGCCACAGCUGACCUUGAAUUCAAACUUCUCCCAGCUCACCACUCUUGCUUCUCCAUUGCAGGACCUCUAAACUAUGUUACUUGGUAUACACUGUAUCAAACACUAGGGAUGACUGUGUUCUCAGCACAGUUAGAUGAUAGGUCUGGGGGAGGCACUGCCAUGGUAUGAGGGAUGCUCAGACAGUCUAUGGACAGGCCCACAUGGGGAGGAAGUGAGGUACUCAGCCAGCAUCCAGCAACAUGUGAAUGAGCUUGGAAAUACAGGCUCCAACAGCUUGACUGUAACCUCAGAGGAAACUUUGAGUCUGAACCAUCCAGCUGGUGGUUUUUUAUUUUUGGUAUUCCUGAUUGAUACCAGUAAUAAAAAAAAAUCUGUGGGAUAGUAAACAUGUAUUAUUUAGGCUGACAUCUGGAGAGGUCACUUUUUGUGAAGCCACAGGUAGCUGAUACAGGCACAGUGCUGAGGUACUCAGGGAUAAGGCCAUCUUUUUGUCCCUUCUCAUACAGGAAAGACAUGCACUUUCUCUGCUCAAGGACCUGUCUCAGCUCUGUCUCUGCCAACAGGGCUGGAGAGGGGAGAGGGUGGCCCUGCCAAAUGCCAACAGCGCCUCCUUAAGGACAAUUCAUGGCAGGCGUCAGCCUGUGCUCAACUUCCCAUUGGAAAACCUGGGACAAAUCAUUCCCAGAGAAGAGUGAAUACAAAGCGUGGCUUCAGGCAGACUUCCUUUAAAUGUGCACAGACUCUUCCUGCUAUUUUCAUGUAUUUGGAGAACUAGAAAUGUUCCAGAGGCUGAUCUUUCCCUGCCCUGGACUUGGCAGAAAAGAUUUUUGAUGUCAGGGAACUCAAAUUUUAUAUUUUGUCAGUGAACUCAAAUUUUAUUAUUUUCUUAACCAGUUCAGGCACGUGGACACUUUUUGAAAAACUGCAUUUAGGGCAUGGGAUAUACUUAUGCUGUGUGCCUGUUGUCUUAAAGGCACUACCUGGUACCUGAGUGAUCCCACCCUUAUUCCUCUGCUUGGACUGUGUCAAGAGAUCAGUUUGAGUGCACUUAAUUUACAAAGCUUUUCUAAAGAGAUGCUAUCUAGUUAGCAUUUCUUAACCGUUUCCUUCUCACCAUCAGUCUCCAUGCAUGAGGAGACCUGAGCUUGGUUCACCAUCCCCCUUGCCUUUGGGGAGUCUUUCCUGGCUCCCCACAUUAACUCUGGGGAUUGAAGGACAUUUGAGACUUUGAACAGUGGGGGUUUAGUAAACGUCACCAAGUAGUGCCAGUGCCUGAGAGGCUGGCAUCAUAAGGAAGAAGUUGAAUGUUGGUAAUAAUGGCAACUCCACUUGGCUAUGAACUUUCUUUGGGGUGACUUCCUAUAUCGUGUGGUAUCUUUUCAACUUUCCUAUGAAGGAAUGGGGGUGGGGAGGGAGGAAGGUAGGGA